rnacentral:tRNA from 1 species
GCUCGCGUAACUCAGCAGGAUAGAGUGCUCCCCUCCUAAGGGAGAUGUCGCAGGUUCGACUCCUGCCGUGAGCGCCA